CCUACGGGAGGCUGCAGUGGGGAAUAUUGGACAAUGGGGGGGACCCUGAUCCAGCCAUGCCGCGUGUGUGAAGAAGGCCCUCGGGGUGUAAAGCACUUUCAGUGAGGAAGAACGCCUGGUGGUUAAUACCCAUCAGUAAAGACAUCACUCACAGAAGAAGCACCGGCUAACUCCGUGCCAGCAGCCGCGGUAAUACGGAGGGUGCGAGCGUUAAUCGGAAUUACUGGGCGUAAAGCGCGCGUAGGUGGCUUGAUAAGCCGGUUGUGAAAGCCCCGGGCUCAACCUGGGAACGGCAUCCGGAACUGUCAAGCUAGAGUGCAGGAGAGGAAGGUAGAAUUCCCGGUGUAGCGGUGAAAUGCGUAGAGAUCGGGAGGAAUACCAGUGGCGAAGGCGGCCUUCUGGACUGACACUGACGCUGAGGUGCGAAAGCGUGGGUAGCAAACAGGAUUAGAUACCCGGGUAGUC
rnacentral:rRNA from 1 species